UACCACAUCUUAGAACAACCUAGGGAAAGGAUUCACCCUCUUCACAUGCAUAGAGGAGCUCUAUAAAGCAUAUAAUAAAGAAAAUAUCAGCAGAAGUGGUGUUGAAUUUAAUAUAGUGUGCUUUUCUUUGAAGUAGCAACUAAGAGACCCCAACAUGUUGGAUUUCGGUACUAAAACAUAAACAAAAAAGUACCGGAAUAUAUCUUUUAUAAGCAAAAAAUACGAACUUUUGUUGUCGUCAACCUCUGCCAAAAUCCAGAUUCUUUGGCCUUUUAUCUUCUCCCUCAUCACAAUUCCCAAAACAGUACUUCUGUGGUCAAUACCACUUUGCUUCCAUUUCAAUCUUUCUUUCCUGCAUGGAAUCGGAACAGAACGGCUUAUGGUGAUAAGAUAUAAAGUUUUACAAAUUCAAAUUUGCACAUCUUGCAGCAGUUGAGGUAUAUUCCAAAGCUUCUCCCAGCAGGGAAAACCGAUUGCCGGUUCCAGUACUUUAAAAUGAUGGUGACAUGGCCCAAUAACCAAGAGUGUGACCAAUAGUGUGUGUUAGAG
rnacentral:lncRNA from 1 species